GACCGCGUAUCUCAGUUGGAAGAGCAUUGGGCUAGUAUUCCAAAGGUCGUAGGUUCGAAUCCCACCGUGGCCG
rnacentral:tRNA from 1 species